GACGAACGCUGGCGGCGUGCUUAACACAUGCAAGUCGAACGGAAAGGCUCCAGCUUGCUGGAGUACUCGAGUGGCGAACGGGUGAGUAACACGUGGGUAAUCUGCCCUGCACUCUGGGAUAAGCCUGGGAAACUGGGUCUAAUACUGGAUAUGACCUUUCUCCUUAUGGGGUUUGGUGGAAAGUUUUUCGGUGUAGGAUGAGCCCGCGGCCUAUCAGCUUGUUGGUGGGGUGAUGGCCUACCAAGGCGACGACGGGUAGCCGGCCUGAGAGGGUGAUCGGCCACAUUGGGACUGAGAUACGGCCCAGACUCCUACGGGAGGCAGCAGUGGGGAAUAUUGCACAAUGGGCGGAAGCCUGAUGCAGCGACGCCGCGUGAGGGUUGACGGCCUUCGGGUUGUAAACCUCUUUCAGCAGGGACGAAGCGUAAGUGACGGUACCUGCAGAAGAAGCACCGGCUAACUAUGUG
rnacentral:rRNA from 1 species